AUCUCCAUCAACUCCUGUAUAAACUGUGUUGCAUGCAACAACAAAUGUUUCAUAGUGUAUGUUAUUACAGUGUAAUACUCCUUAUUAGGUGAUUCUAGAGUGUGCUAGUGAAGCCCCCAAUAGUGCUGCAGUUACUGUACACUGCAGUGUGAUAUACUGGUCCUGUGUAUAGGAGCUCUUACUUAAUAGAGUAUACUAAAGAACCAAAUAAUAUAACAGGAUUAAUAUUAGUCCUUCAGUAUCAACAGUGUAAUAUAAGUAUUGUAUUUAGUAAUGAGGCUGGCAGUAGUGAGCCAUUUAUACUAGCAUUUGAUUAUUCUAAUAUCGCUACUACUGCUACUACUGCUGCAGCAAGCCAUCUUAAUGUCAGUGCUGUUAUCACAGCAACAUCACUGAGUGUUUUUAUUGUAUUAUUGAUAAUAAUAAUAAUUCUCAUUGUGCUUGUUAUAACAUACAAAAGGGAGUUAUAUAGGUUUACCUCAUUACAACAACAUCAACAAGAGUUACCUACUACACGUAAUGAAGCAUAUGAGCUCAACACUUUCAUGAUUACUACUACCAAUAAUAAUAAUCCUACUUAUGAAGAAGUAGGAAACAAAGCAGGAACAGCUAGCAUGUAAAUCAUUAAUUUUUGUUUCAUGUGUUGUAGUAGUUUAGCAACCCAUUUUAGUGACUUAAAUUAAUAAAGAUGUGUGUACAA